rnacentral:lncRNA from 1 species
GCCCGAUAAUUAUUCACCUACAAAGCUAAACCUCAUCAUCAGAUCAAUUGUAAAUUUCCAAGAUCUAUGAUGAAAAAUAUUGUUGCACGUUGCUAGUUUGGAACCCUUGAUCACACUAGGUCAGUUUGGAACCCCUCCUAAGGUCGAUCCAAAUCCACAAGACAUCUCUAGACCCACAACUAAUCUACUAAAUUGUAGAGAGAGAAAGAAUAAAGAAAACAAAGAGCAAGAGAGGAAAAGAGAGAGAAGAGAGCUACUCUCUUCUCCCUUGAAAUAGAAAAAGUUCUUAUCUCCUUCCCAAAGGAUAAGGCUGGCAACCUACCAUAUAG